CUAACAAGGAUUUUCUUAGUAGCGGCGAGCGAAAAGAAAAUAGUUCAGCACUAAGUCACUUUGUCUUAAUGGCAAAUGUGAGAUGCAGUGUAUGGAAUGUCAAAUUUCUAGUAUGAGAAAUUAACGAUUUAAGUCCUUCUUAAAUGAGGCCAUUUACCCAAAGAGGGUGCCAGGCCCGUAUAACGUUAAUGAUUACUAGAUGGCAUUUCCAAAGAGUCGUGUUGCUUGAUAGUGCAGCACUAAGUGGGUGGUAAACUCCAUCUAAAACUAAAUAUAACCAUGAGACCGAUAGUAAACAAGUACCGUGAGGGAAAGUUGAAAAGAACUCUGAAUAGAGAGUUAAAUAGUACGUGAAACUGCUUAGAGGUUAAGCCCGAUGAACCUGAAUAUCCGUUAUAGAAAAUUCAUCAUUAUGAUUUUAAUAUUUAUAAUAUUAUAAUAAUGGUGUGCAUUUUUUCUAUAAAGGACAUUGUAAUCUAUUAACAUAAAUAUAUUUAUCAUAAGAUCAAGAGCUUAAGUUUAUUCAAAUUAUUUUGCUUGCAAUUUAACAUAGAAUAAAUGCUUUUGAUUUGAUAAAGUGUUGAUAGAUUUAUUAUAUAUAGUGCUUAAAUAUUUAUAUUUUAUAAUAGCAUAUUAAUCAUUGAUUUUUAUGUUUAUUAUAUGCACUUAUAUGAUUAACAAUGCGAAAGAUUCAGGAUACCUUCGGGACCCGUCUUGAAACACGGACCAAGGAGUCUAACAUAUUUGCAAGUUAUUGGGAAUAAAAACCUAAUAGCGUAAUUAACAUAACUUAUAUAAUGGGAUUAGUUUUUAGCCUAUUUAUAGUCUAUUAAUACAAUCCCGGGGCGUUCUAUCAGUUAUGUAUAAUAAUAUUUAUAUUAUUUAUACCUCUAACUAGAGCGUACCUUGAGCAUAUAUGCUGUGACCCGAAAGAUGGUGAACUAUACUUGAUCAGGUUGAAGUCAGGGGAAACCCUGAUGGAAGACCGAAACAGUUCUGACGUGCAAAUCGAUUGUCAGAAUUGAGUAUAGGGGCGAAAGACCAAUCGAACCAUCUAGUAGCUGGUUCCCUCCGAAGUUUCCCUCAGGAUAGCUGGUGCAUUUAAAAAUUAUGUAAAAUAAUCUUAUCUGGUAAAGCGAAUGAUUAGAGGCCUUAGGGUCGAAACGACCUUAACCUAUUCUCAAACUUUAAAUGGGUAAGAACCUCACCUUUCUUGGUAUGAAGGUUGUGGUUGUGAUAUAAUGUGCCCAGUGGGCCACUUUUGGUAAGCAGAACUGGCGCUGUGGGAUGAACCAAACGUAAUGUUACGGUGCCCAAAUUAACAACUCAUGCAGAUACCAUGAAAGGCGUUGGUUGCUUAAAACAGCAGGACGGUGGACAUGGAAGUCGUAAUCCGCUAAGGAGUGUGUAACAACUCACCUGCCGAAGCAACUAGCCCUUAAAAUGGAUGGCGCUUAAGUUGUAUACCUAUACAUUACCGCUAAAGUAGAUGGUUUAUGUUCAAUUUCGGUUGGAUUAUAAACUUUGAAACUUUAGUGAGUAGGAGGGUACAAUGGUGAGCAUAGAAGUGUUUGGCGUAAGCCUGCAUGGAGCUGCCAUUGGUACAGAUCUUGGUGGUAGUAGCAAAUAAUCGAAUGAGACCUUGGAGGACUGAAGUGGAGAAGGGUUUCGUGUGAACAGUGGUUGAUCACGAGUUAGUCGGUCCUAAGUUCAAGGCGAAAGCCGAAAAUUUUCAAGUUAUAAUGAAAAGUAAGUAAUAUUACUUAGUAAUUAAACACUUGAAUAAUUUUGAACGAAAGGGAAUACGGUUCCAAUUCCGUAACCUGUUGAGUAUCCGUUUGUUAUUAAAUAUGGGCCUUGUGCUCAUCCUGGCAACAGGAACGACCAUAAAGAAGCCGUCGAGAGAUAUCGGAAGAGUUUUCUUUUCUGUUUUAUAGUCGUACUACCAUGGAAGUCUUUCGAAGAGAGAUAUGGUAGAUGGACUAGAAGAGCAUGACAUUUACUGUUGUGUCGAUAUUUUCUCCUCGGACCUUGAAAAUUUAUGGUGGGGUCACGCAAACUUCUCAACAGGCCGUACCAAUAUCCGCAGCUGGUCUCCAA
rnacentral:rRNA from 1 species